UGGGGAAUAUUGCACAAUGGGCGCAAGCCUGAUGCAGCGACGCCGCGUGCGGGAUGGAGGCCCUCGGGUUGUAAACCGCUUUUGUUCAAGGGCAAGGCAGGCUUUCGGGCCUGUUGAGUGGAUUGUUCGAAUAAGCACCGGCUAACUACGUGCC
rnacentral:rRNA from 1 species